AUACGGAGGACGCGAGCGUUAUCCGGAUUCAUUGGGUUUAAAGGGUGCGCAGGCGGGAGAUUAAGUCGGCGGUGAAGUUUUGCAGCUCAACUGUAAAAGUGCCUUCGAAACUGGUUUCCUUGAGUGUAGAUGAAGUAGGCGGAAUUUGUGGUGUAGCGGUGAAAUGCAUAGAUAUCACGAGGAACUCCGAUUGCGCAGGCAUCUCACGAAGGGUUGAUUGACGCUGAGGCACGAAAGCGUGGGGAUCAAACAGGAUUAGAUACCCUGGUAGUCCACGCAGUAAACGAUGAUGGCUAACCGCUGGGCUUAUCAGUUCAGUGGCCAAGCGAAAGCGAUAAGCCAUCCACCUGGGGAGUACGACCGCAAGGUUGAAACUCAAAGGAAUUGACGGGG
rnacentral:rRNA from 1 species